rnacentral:rRNA from 1 species
UCAUAACCGUGCGAAGGUAGCGUAAUCACUUGUCUUUUAAAUGGAGACCUGUAUGAAUGGCACCACGAGGGUUUAACUGUCUCCUUCCCCCAGUCAAUGAAAUUGAUCUGCCCGUGCAGAAGCGGACAUAACAACAUAAGACGAGAAGACCCUAUGGAGCUUUAGGCUAAAGGCCCAAACAUGUAAAGAAAUUUCACAUUAAACAAAAGGAACAAAGCAAAUUUAAACUCAAUGUAUUAAUGACCACAUGCCUUCGGUUGGGGCGACCACGGGGGAAAACAAAGCCCCCGAAUGGAACGAAAACAUCUUCCUAAACCAAGAAACACAUUUCCAAGUAACAGAAAAUCUGACCAAACAUGACCCGGGACAAACAAACCCGAUCAAUGAACCAAGUUACCCUAGGGAUAACAGCGCAAUCCUUUCCCAGAGUCCCUAUCGACGAAAGGGUUUACGACCUCGAUGUUGGAUCAGGACAUCCUAAUGGUGAAGCCGCUA